rnacentral:misc_RNA from 1 species
AAGUCGUAACAAGGUUUCCGUAGGUGAACCUGCGGAAGGAUCAUUACCAAUUUUAUCGGGGGGACUUCGGUCCCUGUCUGAACCCUUGUCUUUUGCGUACUAUUUGUUUCCUUGGUGGGCUUUGCCUGCCAAUAGGACACUAUUAAACCUUUUGUAAUUGCAAUCAGCGUCAGAAAAAACAUAAUAAUUACAACUUUCAACAACGGAUCUCUUGGUUCUG